rnacentral:rRNA from 1 species
GACGUAGGGUGCGAGCGUUGUCCGGAUUUAUGGGGCGUAAAGAGCUCGUAGGCGGCUCGUCGCUUCUACCGUGAAAACCCGCGGCUUAACUGCGGGCUUGCGGUUGAUACGGGCGGGCUAGAGUUCGGUAGGGGAGACUGGAAUUCCUGGUGUAGCGGUGAAAUGCGCAGAUAUCAGGAGGAACACCGGUGGCGAAGGCGGGUCUCUGGGCCGAUACUGACGCUGAGGAGCGAAAGCGUGGGGAGCGAACAGG